CACAGGUUCUACUCCUACAGUGUCAUCCCAGCUGGCUUAAGAGCUUGGAGGAUCACUGUAGCUCUGUCACAUUUAAGGUGUCCUCAGACAGCAGAAAACAUCAUCUUUUUGAAGAGUGCUACAAUUUUUCCAGUCACCUCUUAUAACUGCAUGCCAAAGAAGGACUCCAUGAAAGAUGACAGAAGAAGCCAUUGUCAUAGCCAAGUGGGACUACACUGCCCAGCAGGACCAGGAGCUCGACAUCAGGAAGAGUGAGCGGUUGUGGCUGCUGGAUGACUCCAAGACUUGGUGGCGGGUGAGAAAUGCAGCCAACAGGACAGGCUAUGUGCCUUCCAACUGCGUGGAGCGUAAGAACAGCCUGAAGAAGGGCUCCCUGGUGAAGAAUCUCAAGGACACGCUAGGGGAUUGAGGGUUUUAAUCCCUUCUGCUAUCCUGGACCGCAUUACAUAGACCAUGCUGGUGUCCGGCUCAACGACAUACACCUGCUGGAAACCCUGUGAUUAAAGACAUGAGGAAAUACACCCAGCUUGCCGAGCAUUUUUAUAUAUCAUGCUUUGGGUUGUACACUGCUUUAGGGAGCAGUGACUUUUGAUGAUGCGCAAGUGAACUUCACUGAGGAAGAGUGGGAAUCGUUGGAUCCAUCCCAGAAGAAUCUCUACAAAAAUGUGAUGUUGGCGACCUUCCUGAACCUCAACGCUCUAGGCUCUAAUUGGGAAGACCAUGAUAUUGAAGAACAUUUUGAAAAUUCUAGAAGAUUUAAAAGGUAAUUUUCUUGUGCCAGCUGAUACAAAUAUAUCUCUGAGGAAAUUUUAAUGUGUUCUUAAAACUCUAAAGAAAAGCAAGAGGGUAAAAUAUCUGUCCUUUAAGUGUAGCUAUGAUUAAAAUUGUCUAACAAAACCAUGGACCUCAAAAUCAGUUAUCAGAGUUGUGUAUCCAUUUGCUGUGUAGCUCCAUUAGAGCCAUGCUGUGGAACUGCUAAUCUGUACAGUCUCAAAUUACUUAGAUAUCAUAUUGACAUUGAAUAGUAAUAAAUAUAUAUCAAAAACCUUCUAAUAAGCAAAAAGUCCAUGAUAAAGUUGGUGAUGCUAAUAUUCUUGUAGGGGCAUUUUUAAAUUUGUUGAGAGCGCAGUUUAUGAGACUCAAGAAUGUUGUUUUGGAUAAAUAUUAAUCUAUAUACUACAUGUUAUAAGAAAUAAAAAUUCAAAAAGAGUGAA